GAUGAAGAACGCAGCGAAAUGCGAUAAGUAAUGUGAAUUGCAGAAUUCAGUGAAUCAUCGAAUCUUUGAACGCACAUUGCGCCCAUUAGUAUUCUAGUGGGCAUGCCUGUUCGAGCGUCAUUAAGUCCACUUAAGCCUAGCUUAGUGUUGGGAGACUGCUCCAGUGGUGCUACACUGUAGCUACCCUGCAGCUCCUUAAAGACAGCGGCGGAGUCGUGUUAUCCUCUGAGCUUAGUAAAUCAUUCUAGCUUUCGAGAGUAUCACUUCACCUGCCGUUAAACCACCUAAUUUUUAUGGUUGACCUCGGAUCAGGUAGGAAUACCCGCUGAACUUAAGCAUAUCAAUAAGCGGAGGA
rnacentral:misc_RNA from 1 species